rnacentral:lncRNA from 1 species
UAUUUUUCAUGCUGAAAAUUCAUAACCACACUUUUAUACAAGCACCUCAUAGUAUAUAUUACACUACUAUUCACAGAGGUCUAAUCUAACACUUAUCCAAAUAAAAACCGAGCUUGAUAAGAUAGGAUGGGAUCUCAAUUCUCAUCCGGGUCGUACUCGAGAUCAUCUUGAUCCUCCUCUCAUUCUUCACUAAGUUCGUUUCCUUCAAGCUCUUCAUCUUUUUCUGGCUCAUCGUCCUCUUUUGGUUCCUCCUCCUCAGGAUAAUCUAUGGGCCUGAAAUGGUUAUAUAAUAACCAUUGAGACCACGUCUCAGCAAGUUCUACUCCCUAAGACUCGAUUAGUAAACCAAUACACUAACUAGGCUACGUAUGCAUGCACAGGUCAAAGGACUUACCUUGGCCUCGGAUUCCACUUGCAUAUUAGCACAGUUCAUUAGGCACCCAAGUAAUCACAUCACAGAUCGAUAUUUCAAUCAAUCGACCUAGUCGAUUACCUGUCAAUUGGACCAUUUAUCUCUCAUUUCAAUUCAAUCAAUUAAUUCACAACAUCAUAUCAAAGCAAUGAUCAAUCGACCUAGUCAAUUACAUGUCAUCUUGACCCUUUCUUGGUCGGCUCAUCUCAUACUAUCUAUAAGUCCGUUCAUAUCAGGACUACUUUCUGCUAAGCUGCCAUAUCACCCUUAGGUUGAUAUAGUUUACCGACACUACUCAAUCUAAGCUGAUAAGGUAUACUGUUCUCUGCUAAGCUGCCAUAUCGCCCUUAGGCUGAUAUAGUAUACCGACAUAUUCCAUCAAAACUAAUAAUGUAUAUUGUUCUCUGUUAAGCUGACAUAUCAUUCGUAAGCUGAUAUAGUAUAACGGUAUAAUGCUCUUUGCUAAGCUAACAUAUCGGCCGUAGGUCGAUAUAGUAUACCAUCCCAAUCAUACAACUAAUUCCAUCUUUUUAUCAUUUUCGAUAAAGUAGCCGUGUGUGGGGACACAAUCGGCCUUAGCCAAAAUAUAAUAUUUUCCUUUCCAUAACUCCCAUAUUUUCAGUAGUCCACUCAAAUAUUUUUGACAUUAUCAACCGAUGCUCGGUUAUUUUUCAAUUGAUAACUAAUGAUUAUCCAAUUAAAGAAUAAUUCACACUUUCACAAAUAAUUCAAUUCAGUAUGAAAUAAAGCUCAAUUAAAUAAACGAAUUGCGUCACAACAAUCAACAUAAAAUUCUGGUCACCAGCCAUCCGGGUUGAAUUUCCAGAAAAAAUAAAUAAAUAAUUAAUUAAUUUCGAAAAUAAUUAUUAAAUAGAAAUAAAUCAAAUUUAAGCCCGUAAUGCCUAAUUGGAGGCCGAGGCGGACCUAGAAAAUUUCUGAGGUUCACUCAAUAAUUUCUUGAGCCUAGUUACUCGCUAAUGGCUAAGUCUAACCACCUAACAUGCAUCAUCAAGCCACUAAUUUAAUUGUUCUAAACUAAUCUAACCACCUAAGUGCACUUAAUUAAAUCUAAUCAACCCCUAAGCAUAAUCAGCAAACUAAGAAAGCAUUAGUGAGUAAAACUCACUUGUUUAAAAGCAAAGACUAGAUCACCGCGAUGACAACGUGACGGCAGCCGAAGUCUGAAUUUUCGGCGGCAUCGGCGAACACUCAGGCUAGGCCCAAAGGCCUUGCAAGCCCACAACAAUUGCUGGGCUUGGUCUUGGGCUUGGGCUGCUUCGCGGGCUUCAAAGGGCUGACUUGGCUGAAUUCUUGGGCUGCUGAAAUUCUUGGGCUAGGCUUGAUGGAGAUGCUGGGCCAAAAUCUAAGUUGGAUGGGCUGUUGGGCCCACUUGGGCUGAGAGUGCCUUCGAUGGAAAUGGAGGAGGAUCGGUGGGCUGAGCUGCUUCGGGCUUCACUGGAACUUGGGCCGUUGGGCUGAGCUUGUGGGCGUGAAGUUCGUUGGGUUGCUGCUUGCCUCGGUUGGAGAAGAGAUGGACGAAGAUGGCAGCUGGAUUCCUGGCCGCAUGGAGUGAAGAUCGAUGGGGGAGUGAGAGGCGCGCACAGACGAGCGAAGGUGGGAGCUUCGAGUGGUUUGCUGGUCAACAACCGAUAGAAGGGCAGCUUUGGGUGACUUGUUGGACACACGUGGAGGCUUCGGUCACACGAAGAAGAAGAGAACUUGAUUGUUGACCGGCAACUCCAUGAGCUGCUUCGGUGGGGAGAAUCGCACGGAGAGGGGAACAGGUUGAGCCUUCGUGGUAGCUGAGUCUUCGGUGGCUGGGCAAAGAAGACACGAAGAUGGGUGGUCUUCAACUGGGCUUUCGGUUUGUAGUUUUUGUGGCCGAGAGAGAGAGAGAGAGCGAGUGGAAGAGAGGGCAGAGAAAUUUCAAGGCAGAAUGAAAUGAAAGAAAAAAGGGCGUGGGUGAGAUGGGAUCGAACGAGAGAC